CCUACGAGUGGCAGCAGUGAGGAAUAUUGGUCAAUGGCCGGAAGGCUGAACCAGCCAAGCCGCGUGAGGGAGGAAGGCGCAGAGCGUCGCAGACCUCUUUUGCCGGGGGACAAAAGGCCGGACUCGUCCGGUCCUGAGGGUACCCGGAGAAAAAGCAUCGGCUAACUCCGUGCCAGCAGCCGCGGUAAUACGGAGGAUGCGAGCGUUAUCCGGAUUCACUGGGUUUAAAGGUUGCGCAGUCGGGCCUUUAUGCGGGCGGUGAAAUCGCGGGGCUCAACCCCGCGGAGCCGUCGGAACGGGGGGCCUUGAGUGCGGCGGAGGCAUGCGGAAUGCGCGGUGUAGCGGUGAAAUGCAUAGAUAUCGCGCAGAACCCCGAUUGCGAAGGCAGCAUGCCGGCUUCCGAAUGACGCUGAAGCACGAAAGCGUGGGGAUCGAACAGGAUUAGAUACCCCAGUAGUC
rnacentral:rRNA from 1 species